CUGUACACUUCGCCCCACUUAACGACCUAUUGAACACCUAAAGUUGGCCAAUGUGUACCUAUUAAACACGGACAUCUCUUUUUUGUUUUGAUAUGUUAUUUUCUCAUUGGCCUGAUUUGCGCAUUUUUUGAGCCCUUGACUAAUUGAGUGAGCAUUUUUGUGCUGGAAAACAAAAGGGGACAAAAUUUUCCUCUCUCAAUAGUUUAGAAAUAAAGUUUACUCUUACAACAAUUUCCUAUAUAUUCGAUUCCCUCUAUGAAAUUUAAUUUACUUAUAUUAUUUUAUCUUUCGCUUAAUAAUUGUCACACAUUAUAUAAAAGAACAUUAAUAUUUCGCAAGCUAAUAGUCAUCAUUAAAGUUCACAAAAUAAAAGAUCUCAAAAUUAAUAAAAAUCAAAUUGAAAUAGUAAUAUCAUAUUUUAUUUAUCAAAUAAACUUGUAGAAAAGUUUUUUAUUGACAUUUUUUUUCCCUAAGUUGUCAUUUCUAUGAAACGGAAACCUGUAGACCAUAAAUUGAUCUUAAAGAAAGGUGUAAGUUGCACUAUUAAUUAGAUUAUCAUUUCUAAUCUUGCAUAUCUAUAUAAAUAUAUAAAGCAGGGACUUAGAUUCGAUGAUGUGGCACGCUCUAGGAUAAGAAUGACUAUUAUCUUUUUUCUAAUUUUUUUGUCAUUUUAAAUUUAAAAAAUCAAUUAUUAACUCAACUAAAAGUGCUCCUUCGGCCUUCAGUUGAAAAACCCCAAAAGCCGUUUCCAGUUACACAAAACUCAACAACCGCUUCCUUUCUCCAUACACCUCCCUUUCUCCCAUUCUCCUCCCUUACAACAAGCUAAUCUUUAGGAUUUUUUCCCUCAGUUAGUUUUUUUCCCAGCAACAGCGGCAACUUCUCGUCGUUUUCAAACAAAACCUAGCGUCUUCUAUUUCAAUCAAUGUUAAGUGUUGUCUUAGAAAAUUCAUAGUGCCACAUCGCAUCAAAUCAAAAACAUAAAUCAAUCAAUAGAUGAGAAGAAUUCCGCACAUUUGCCGCCAUCAAUCAACAGAGGAGAAGAAUUCCACCCGUCUGUCAUUUCGAACAAAAAGUUUAAGAAUUUCAAUACCAAUAGCAGCAAAGACAAAGAAUAAAUCAAUAGUGGAGAAGAAGUUUAUCGUCUGCAUUUGUUGUGUCCUCUGCAUAUCCCCAAAUAUUUUUAGAUUGAGAAUCUUCCAAGAAAGUUGCAUAUAGGAUCAGCAAGCUACUUAUCAGUCAUGAUGAAAAGGUUUAUGUGUGUUCAAAAGAUUACUUUUUUGCAGGAUCGGCAAGCCACUGAUCAGUGAUGAUGGAAAUAUUUAUGUUUGUUCAAAAAUAACUUUUUUCCCUUUGAAAGCAAUGGUUCUGACGAUAGCUCCAGUCCCAGGGAAUCAACAACGGUUGAGUUUCCACAUUAUUCUCAUUUGUAAGAUAUGUCUUUUAUAUCCUCAUCCUCAAUCCUUCCUGGUUUUUUAGUUGUGUAUCUGCAUAUCCUUCAUUUGAAUGUUUUACUUAUUUCUCUCGAUCAUUUUUGCGUUCUAACUUUGGCUUUAAGCAUAUUUUUGGAAAUAAGUACAGAAUAAUAGGGAAACACAAUAUAAAUCUUUUUUCACAGCGAGAUUGCAGCUUACAUUACAAUUGUUGUUGUGGAAUUUUUUGUUCUUUUUUGUUAUACUAUUUGAUACUGAGAUUAUUCAUGAGAUACUGCAAUUUUUUUCCACUACGGUGAGUACUUAUCUCUUUUUCUCUUGCCGCUUCUAUUGGAAUUUGUUAAGAGAAAUUGCAUUAUCUGUUGUUAUUUUGCUUUUUUGUUCAAUGUUUUUUCAGGUUUUAUUGGUCCACCUUGCAUAAAAUUAUGUUCUGCUAUGUGAUGUGAUGAUUGCACAAUAGAUAUUAUGUGAUGAUUUCUUUUUCCUCGCUGUCUACAUUAAUCUCAUUCCUCUUAAGACGUACACUUCAGGAGAAGCAAGAACAACAAGCAAAGAAGAAUUAGACAAACCAAAGAGCUAAGUUCGCUUUCUUCUCAUCCUAUGCUUUGUUAAAAAAUUAACUACAUUCUUUGUUACCUCAACCUAUGUUAUGAAAGUUAUUUGUUCAGAGCAAUCUUCUGUCUUAGUUUAUUCUAAGUAAACUAUCUCCUUAUAUACUUCAAAGUUGUAAGAUUUGAACAUAGAUGCAGUAUGAAUCAAUGCUCUAAAUUCAAAAGUGAAAGGACCUCUUGGAUCCAUAAACUAUGCACACCAACUACUUUGUUAGGUUCCUACUUGCUACGAUGCUACUUCAUGCACACUGACGAUAGUAGGAGGCACUUCGCCAACCCUCUUAAUCUUUAAAAGUGGAAGUGAUUUAAAUUGGGAACUUCAUGGGUCUACCUGUGGUGUUAGCUAUUCUGCAACUUCCAGCAUAUAUACCUUCUGUUUAGCUUCGGGAAGAAGUCAUUGUCGCAAAGUAUGGAAAGGAGAAUCAGUGAACUGUCAAUCUAGUACUUAUGCCUAAUAAGACAACCUUAUGAAAGUAAAAUUACAAUCUUUGGGGGAAUUUCAGCAGCUUAUAAUUUUAAAAGUGGGGGAUAGGAAGCAUAUUGAAUUUUUGCUAGAUCAUUGGCUUGAAGUUUGGAGUAAUCAUCGACCAAUCUCCUGAAUUAUACAGUUUAGCGGUAAAUAAAGAUAUCAUGGUAGCUAAUUAUUUUUCUAAAUCGGGUUGGCAUCAUCAAUUUAAUGAACUUUAAUGUGGAAGCUUGGACAAUAUAACUCUUUUAAUGGAAACUCUACAAUAUGUGGUGCUGGAUGAACGCAAGAUAGAUUUCAAGAUUUGGUUAGCAAGUAAACCUUGAUUUUUUUCCCUGUUAGUAGCUGAUUUAAAGUAUUUUUUAAGCACAUUGGGGAUUAGGAAGAUCAAUUUCCAUGGAAAUUGAAUUGGAAGUCAAAUGUUCCACCUAAUGUUUCAUGUUUCACUGUGUAACAGAUGUCUCUUUUGAGGUAAAUGUAGAGGACCACAACCAUAUAGUUUAUGCCUUUGUGGGUUCACUCGACUGUUGGUCUCUCUUCUUCAAUAUGUUUGGUGUAAGCUAUCAAAUGCCACAAGAUACCAAGAAGCUUUAGUUAUGUUGGGUGAAACAGAAGGUGAACUGCAGAGGCAAACUGAUACACGACUAGAAAGAAACAUGAGGUACUUUUGAAGAGAAAGUUGAGCACAUUUUUUUUUUGUUAAGUUUACAUGCUUACAAAUGAUUUACUUCUUGCGCAAGGGAAACACAUUAGAUAGUAUGAUGUAGUUUUUGGACUCUUUGAGUCAACAGCUAUAAAUUCCGCUACUUUUGUACUGUAUUGUGUACGUCUCUUGGUACUGACAAUAAUAGUUUACUUCAUUAAAAAAAUUAUAGUAUAGCCUUUCAAUUCCUAAUGUUGGACUAUAUCUACGCAAAAAUGUUUGAAUCUCUU